UUAGUGGCGGACGGGUGAGUAACGCGUGGAUAACCUGCCGUAUACAGGGGGAGUAACACUUAGAAAUAGGUGCUAAUACCGCAUAAGCGCACGGUUCCGCAUGGAACAGUGUGAAAACUACCGGUGGUAUACGAUGGAUCCCGCGUCUGAUUAGCCAGUUGGUGGGGUAACGGCCCACCAAAGCGACGAUCAGUAGCCGGCCUGAGAGGGUGAACGGCCACAUUGGGACUGAGACACGGCCCAAACUCCUACGGGAGGCAGCAG
rnacentral:rRNA from 1 species